CCUACGUGUGGCAGCAGUGAGGAAUAUUGGUCAAUGGGCGCGAGCCUGAACCAGCCAAGUAGCGUGAAGGAUGACUGCCCUACGGGUUGUAAACUUCUUUUAUAAAGGAAUAAAGUGAGGCACGUGUGCCUUUUUGUAUGUACUUUAUGAAUAAGGAUCGGCUAAAUCCGUGCCAGCAGCCGCGGUAAUACGGAGGAUCCGAGCGUUAUCCGGAUUUAUUGGGUUUAAAGGGAGCGUAGAUGGGUUGUUAAGUCAGUUGUGAAAGUUUGCGGCUUAACCGUAAAAUUGCAAUUGAUACUGGCAGCCUUGAGUACAGUUGAGGUAGGCGGAAUGCGUGGUGUAGCGGUGAAAUGCUUAGAUAUCACGAAGAACUCCAGUGGCGAAGGCGGCCUGCUGGACGACAACUGACGGUGAGGCGCGAAAGCGUGGGGAGCAAACAGGAUUAGAUACCCUGGUAGUC
rnacentral:rRNA from 1 species